AUUAAAAGGCUUUUUGACUACAGCAGGAAUCGAUCCUGACUUAAGACAAUUGCAACACUUCGUCCUUAUCACUAGUCCAUCUCGUCCACACUUGCUUUAACUUCUUUUAUAUUCUACUUAACUCUUUCUCGUCUGUGGUGGAAUUAAUGAAAAUGGUUUCCACUACAGCAGGGAUCGAUCCGUACUUCUUCCUCAUGUAACACCAGGAGACUACCACUCGACUAGCAUAUCUAUUCUGUGGUAUUAAACUAUACCUAUAUCUACAUAAUCCCUCAUCACCAAAUUUUAUUUUAAAAAAUUAAGUCGCCAAAAAUUCAGGACCUGACCCUUUACUUUUUUGCACACAAAUGUAGCUCCACUUUAAAUGUCAAAAAAUGGACGAACUUUUCUUUUUCCCCAUUUCCCCUCUUUUUCAAUUUUUAUGCCAAUCUUUGCAUCAUUUUUCAAAUCAUAAAACUGUACUCUUACGAAAA